UACGUAGGUCCCGAGCGUUGUCCGUAUUUAUUGGGCGUAAAGCGAGCGCAGGUGGUUUAAUAAGUCUGAUGUAAAAGGCAGUGGCUCAACCAUUGUGUGCAUUGGAAACUGUUAGACUUGAGUGCAGUAGAGGAGAGUGGAAUUCCAUGUGUAGCGGUGAAAUGCGUAGAUAUUCGGAGGAACACCGGUGGCGAAAGCGGCUCUCUGGCCUGUAACUGACACUGAGGCUCGAAAGCGUGGGGAGCAAACAGG
rnacentral:rRNA from 1 species